UCGGGCAGAGAGGGAGGAAGGGAGGGGGGAAGACGCAGAAUCGGAAAAAAUAGCGUUUUUACUUCUUUAAAAGGCUCGAAAAAUGCCAGAAAAAUCGGCAAAAAAUACGGGAAGUCCAAGGGAGGCGGCGGGCAGCCGUGAGAGUGGGGGAGACGGACCGCAGGGGUGAUUAAGGAGGCAGGAGAAACGUUGGAAAGAAGAAAGGGGUUCUGACUCGUCUUCGGCUGUGGAAAUCGUCAUUUUUUCAAAAAAUCGUAAAAAAUAAUUGGCCUUCCCUAAAAAUACUAAAAAAAAUUCAAAAAUUAUUUGGGGGGCUGGAGAGUGGGCUAGGUGGUUUUACGCCCGAGUUUUCUGCGAUUUGGGUCUAUUUUUAACGGUAAAUUUGAGCGGGAGCGAGGAUUAGAAAUCGGUACAGUCGGCGAGACUUGUACAGGAGGGCAACAUCAAUAUCGGGCUGUCGAUCAUAAGAAAGCAGCCGCUUUUGUGCGAAUAUUAUGGUAUUUUAGGCUUUUACGUGGAGAAUAUGAAGAUGAUUGCCAAAGACAUAUUCGCGCUUUUUUCUGACAUCUUUGGGGAGAAUAAUACCUUUGUUGUGAAUAAGCUGAUGGAUCCUCCGGUUUGGAAAGGGAACUUUUUAUCCUCCGUGUUAAGAAAAUCCUGGAGAGAACAUGAAAACGCUGUUUUGACCUGAGAAAAACAAGACCUCAAUAUCUCGUCCCCCUUGAAGGCUUGUUAAAAACCUUGCUGUGUUGUAGCAGCACAUAAUGGUUUGUUGGUUGUACGGAGAUGCAAGCCAUACUGUGCUGCUGCAAAAACACAAGGAUCUGAGCUCCAGCCAUACUGGAAAUAUGCAAAGGUUAUGCAAAGCAGCUUUGGAAAUGCUGGAAAUCGGACUUCGGUGAAAAAUAGCAUAACGUUUAUAAUGGCAGCCAUGCUUUAGCAGCACGUAAAUAUUGGAGUUAAACCACUUCAUAUCUCUCCAGUAUUGAUCGUGCUGCUGAAGUAAGAUUGUUCAUUUGUCAUCACGAAGAAGCCAGUUGUGGAUGAGAUUUUAUUUUCAUAACCUGGAAAACCUAAGAUUGUUAUGGAAACUGUAAGUAAAACUUGGUGCACCUUUUCAUGCCUUUUCUAACAUUUUACUUGGCUUGUUAUCACUUAGUUUAAGUCAUUGGCUUUUUCAAUUCAGAAUUGCUCCAACAAAAUUGAACAUGUGCAUGAUAAAACUACCUCUUGUUGUCAGAACAGUCACCUAAUGCAAUAUAAUGUAUAAGGUAAUUCACAUAAGUUCAGGAUUUUCCUGGGAAGGUAAUAUAUUCAGGAAGCUUUCUAAAAAUGUAUUCAAGGUGUAUUUCCAGUAGUCAUUGUUGGGGUUUCCUGAAAUCAUGGAGUUCCAUGUUUUUUUAUGUCUGUCUUGUACUCCAUGUGAAAAAAUGUAAAUUUUAAUUUACUGUUUAAUAUGCGAAAUCAUACCUCAAAUGUUAUAUACUGUGUUAUUUUAGUGCAGAUGUCUGUUUAUAGUUUAGAAAGUUUAGUAAUUUUCUCUUUGAAAUGAACUUGUAAGCAUUAAACUUCAUAGAUUUAAAUAAGUUUCCUGUAAUUUUUUGUAUCAGUAAUGCUGUGAUUUACUUUAAACUCACGUGCUUCUAAUUAUCCCUUUUAAUGGGUUGGUAGCAAGUUACUCAGCUGGAUAUAGGCCUAGGUUUCGGCCUGCAGAGGUAGCAAUACAACCGGUUAUUUUUAGAUCGACACUUACCUUUAGAAGAUCUUGCAGGAAUUAUUUUUUGCCUUCCCAAGUGAUUUGAUAAUCUAGAAUUUGUCAUUUGAAAUGAUUUUUAUUUCCCUUUUUGAAUUCAUGUUGGGUUCACCAGUAUGUAACUCUAUAAUCAUUCUUUGGACUGUUUAUAUGGGUAUAUAUUUGAAUUCUAAAUAAAUCCAUUUUGAAUAUUG